GAUGAACGCUAGCUACAGGCUUAACACAUGCAAGUCGCGGGGUAACAUCUGGGAGAGCUUGCUCUUCCAGGAUGACGACCGGCGCACGGGUGAGUAACGCGUAUCCAACCUGGCCCAUACCACGGGAUAGCCCGUCGAAAGGCGGAUUAAUACCGUAUGCUGUCAUUAAGAGGCAUUUUUUGAUGACGAAAGGACUGGCGGUAUGGGAUGGGGAUGCGUCUGAUUAGCUUGUUGGCGGGGUAACGGCCCACCAAGGCGACGAUCAGUAGGGGUUCUGAGAGGAAGGUCCCCCACAUUGGAACUGAGACACGGUCCAAACUCCUACGGGAGGCAGCAGUGAGGAAUAUUGGUCAAUGGGCGAGAGCCUGAACCAGCCAAGUAGCGUGCAGGAUGACGGCCCUAUGGGUUGUAAACUGCUUUANAAGGAUAAAGUGAGUCUCGUGAGACUUUUUGCAUGUACCUUAUGAAUAAGGACCGGCUAAUUCCGUGCCAGCAGCC
rnacentral:rRNA from 1 species